rnacentral:ncRNA from 2 species
AACCAUAGCUAGGGGUGUCCGUAAAAUCGGGCUGAGAGCAAACCCUGAGAACCUGAGACUGGGUAAUACCAGCGUAGGAAAGCUGUUUAUUAGAGGA